CCGGCUCAGUGGUGACGCUAGGGGGGGAUGGUUCUUAUCCGAUGUUGCCUUCUUGGGACAUACUGAAAAAGAAUAUCACAACGACAAUUAACUGAUUAAUAACAAUACGGUUGAGAAAUGUAGACCUGGCUGGCUAAACUAGUGCAGAAGCGAAUAACUCUCUACCCCGUGACAUGUGAGGCCAUGCUAGUUGCCAAGCGGCUGGUGAGAGGCUCUACCUAUGAUUUGGCCGUG